CAGUAGCCGCGGUAAAACGAAGGGGGCUAGCGUUGUUCGGAUUUACUGGGCGUAAAGCGCACGUAGGCGGACUUUUAAGUCAGGGGUGAAAUCCCGGGGCUCAACCCCGGAACUGCCUUUGAUACUGGAAGUCUUGAGUAUGGUAGAGGUGAGUGGAAUUCCGAGUGUAGAGGUGAAAUUCGUAGAUAUUCGGAGGAACACCAGUGGCGAAGGCGGCUCACUGGACCAUUACUGACGCUGAGGUGCGAAAGCGUGGGGAGCAAACAGGAUUAGAUACCCCAGUAGUCCCUGUCUCUUAUAA
rnacentral:rRNA from 1 species